rnacentral:rRNA from 1 species
GAUGAACGCUGGCGGCGUGCCUAAUACAUGCGAGUCGAGCGAACAGACGAGGAGCUUGCUCCUCUGACGUUAGCGGCGGACGGGUGAGUAACACGUGGAUAACCUACCUAUAAGACUGGGAUAACUUCGGGAAACCGGAGCUAAUACCGGAUAAUAUAUUGAACCGCAUGGUUCAAUAGUGAAAGACGGUUUUGCUGUCACUUAUAGAUGGAUCCGCGCCGCAUUAGCUAGUUGGUAAGGUAACGGCUUACCAAGGCAACGAUGCGUAGCCGACCUGAGAGGGUGAUCGGCCACACUGGAACUGAGACACGGUCCAGACUCCUACGGGAGGCAGCAGUAGGGAAUCUUCCGCAAUGGGCGAAAGCUUGACGGAGCAACGCCGCGUGAGUGAUGAAGGUCUUCGGAUCGUAAAACUCUGUUAUUAAGGAAGAACAAAUGUGUAAGUAACUAUGCACGUCUUGACGGUACCUAAUCAGAAAGCCACGGCUAACUACGUG